rnacentral:rRNA from 1 species
UACGAAGGGGGCGAGCGUUGUUCGGAAUUACUGGGCGUAAAGGGCGCGUAGGCGGCAACUCAAGUUAGAUGUGAAAGUCCUGGGCUUAACCUGGGGACUGCAUUUGAUACUGGGUUGCUUGAAUUCGGGAGAGGAUAGCGGAAUUCCCAGUGUAGAGGUGAAAUUCGUAGAUAUUGGGAAGAACACCGGUGGCGAAGGCGGCUAUCUGGACCGACAUUGACGCUGAGGCGCGAAAGCGUGGGGAGCAAACAGG